rnacentral:lncRNA from 1 species
CCACAGUUCAGGUGCACUGGGCUGUGGCAGGGCAAACUACCAGGCUGUGCAGGAUUCAGGCAGGGCUAAGGCUCCAAAGAGACAUGACGUGGCUUCUCCUGGUGCUCUGGGCAUCCCUGCUGUCUGUGGAGCUUGCCCAAGGCAUGGAUGUCAACGAGGAACCAGCCCGAAACCUGAUCUGCUUCCAGUGCUUCAAUGUUCAGCGGGAAACCCAGUGUCGGCCCAUAGAGUGUCAGCCCAAUGAAAAAGUCUGCGUGAGCAGAGAGGUUCUUCUUUACACGAGUGUAAACGGAAGAACUCAGAUCAGCAAGCGCUGUGCCACCACUUGUCCCAACUCCAGAGAUUUCAAUCAGUUGUCAUUUAGCAGUAUUCAGGACAGGAUCAUCAGAAAAUGCUGUUCAACAGAUCGCUGCAACAGAGCACCUGGGAGUUGGGAGGGGUUCUGGUCCUUACUAGGGAGGCUCCUCCUGUCAAUGGGUCUGAGUCUCUUUUGCACCCUGUUGUGAGGACCAUUGUCCUGUGAUACCCUGCCCCAACAUACACAUCCUUCUAGCAUCUCCUGUCUUCCACUUCAAAUACCACCUUCAUCCAUUCUAGGACUUACAAGGCAAUGCUCUGUCCCUGGGGCAGAAGGGAGGACACCAUACCCUUUGCUUGGGACUUAGCAGUCUGCUCCUCCCUGACAUCCAAGCCCAGGAAGUAGAAAUAAAACUCUGCUGCUCCUCA